AAAUUGAAGAGUUUGAUCAUGGCUCAGAUUGAACGCUGGCGGCAGGCCUAACACAUGCAAGUCGAGCGGUAGCACAGAGAGCUUGCUCUCGGGUGACGAGCGGCGGACGGGUGAGUAAUGUCUGGGAAACUGCCUGAUGGAGGGGGAUAACUACUGGAAACGGUAGCUAAUACCGCAUAAUGUCGCAAGACCAAAGUGGGGGACCUUCGGGCCUCAUGCCAUCAGAUGUGCCCAGAUGGGAUUAGCUAGUAGGUGGGGUAACGGCUCACCUAGGCGACGAUCCCUAGCUGGUCUGAGAGGAUGACCAGCCACACUGGAACUGAGACACGGUCCAGACUCCUACGGGAGGCAGCAGUGGGGAAUAUUGCACAAUGGGCGCAAGCCUGAUGCAGCCAUGCCGCGUGUGUGAAGAAGGCCUUCGGGUUGUAAAGCACUUUCAGCGGGGAGGAAGGCGAUAAGGUUAAUAACCUUGGCGAUUGACGUUACCCGCAGAAGAAGCACCGGCUAACUCCGUGCCAGCAGCCGCGGUAAUACGGAGGGUGCAAGCGUUAAUCGGAAUUACUGGGCGUAAAGCGCACGCAGGCGGUCUGUCAAGUCGGAUGUGAAAUCCCCGGGCUCAACCUGGGAACUGCAUUCGAAACUGGCAGGCUAGAGUCUUGUAGAGGGGGGUAGAAUUCCAGGUGUAGCGGUGAAAUGCGUAGAGAUCUGGAGGAAUACCGGUGGCGAAGGCGGCCCCCUGGACAAAGACUGACGCUCAGGUGCGAAAGCGUGGGGAGCAAACAGGAUUAGAUACCCUGGUAGUCCACGCCGUAAACGAUGUCGAUUUGGAGGUUGUGCCCUUGAGGCGUGGCUUCCGGAGCUAACGCGUUAAAUCGACCGCCUGGGGAGUACGGCCGCAAGGUUAAAACUCAAAUGAAUUGACGGGGGCCCGCACAAGCGGUGGAGCAUGUGGUUUAAUUCGAUGCAACGCGAAGAACCUUACCUGGUCUUGACAUCCACAGAACUUUCCAGAGAUGGAUUGGUGCCUUCGGGAACUGUGAGACAGGUGCUGCAUGGCUGUCGUCAGCUCGUGUUGUGAAAUGUUGGGUUAAGUCCCGCAACGAGCGCAACCCUUAUCCUUUGUUGCCAGCGGUUCGGCCGGGAACUCAAAGGAGACUGCCAGUGAUAAACUGGAGGAAGGUGGGGAUGACGUCAAGUCAUCAUGGCCCUUACGACCAGGGCUACACACGUGCUACAAUGGCAUAUACAAAGAGAAGCGACCUCGCGAGAGCAAGCGGACCUCAUAAAGUAUGUCGUAGUCCGGAUUGGAGUCUGCAACUCGACUCCAUGAAGUCGGAAUCGCUAGUAAUCGUAGAUCAGAAUGCUACGGUGAAUACGUUCCCGGGCCUUGUACACACCGCCCGUCACACCAUGGGAGUGGGUUGCAAAAGAAGUAGGUAGCUUAACCUUCGGGAGGGCGCUUACCACUUUGUGAUUCAUGACUGGGGUGAAGUCGUAACAAGGUAACCGUAGGGGAACCUGCGGUUGGAUCACCUCCUUA
rnacentral:rRNA from 1 species